rnacentral:rRNA from 1 species
GAUGAACGCUAGCGGCAGGCUUAACACAUGCAAGUCGAGGGGCAGCGGGAGUAGCAAUACCUGGUGGCGACCGGCGCAAGGGUGCGUAACGCGUGAGCAACAUGCCCGUAUCAGGGGAAUAAUCCAGGGAAACUUGGUCUAAUACCCCAUAGUAAAUAUUAAAGGCAUCUUUAAUAUUUUAAAGCUUUGGUGGAUACGGAUUGGCUCGCGUGACAUUAGCUAGAUGGUAAGGUAACGGCUUACCAUGGCUACGAUGUCUAGGGGUUCUGAGAGGAAGAUCCCCCACACUGGAACUGAGACACGGUCCAGACUCCUACGGGAGGCAGCAGUGAGGAAUAUUGGACAAUGGAUGGAAAUCUGAUCCAGCCAUGCCGCGUGCAGGAAGACGGCCCUAUGGGUUGUAAACUGCUUUUAUAUGGGAGCAAUAAGGCCUACGUGUAGGUUGAUGAGAGUACCAUAUGAAUAAGCACCGGCUAACUCCGUGCCAGCAGCCGCAGUAAUAC